rnacentral:rRNA from 1 species
UACGAAGGGGGCAAGCGUUGUUCGGAAUUAUUGGGCGUAAAGAGCUCGUAGGCGGUCUGUCGCGUCUGCUGUGAAAACUCAGGGCUUAACCCUGAGCUUGCAGUGGGUACGGGCAGACUAGAGUGCGGUAGGGGAGACUGGAAUUCCUGGUGUAGCGGUGAAAUGCGCAGAUAUCAGGAGGAACACCGGUGGCGAAGGCGGGUCUCUGGGCCGUAACUGACGCUGAGGAGCGAAAGCAUGGGGAGCGAACAGG